rnacentral:rRNA from 1 species
GGCUCUCUGUUUACAUAAAUAUAGGGAGUCGAGCCUGCCCAGUGAAUUUUUAAACGGCCGCGGUACUCUGACCGUGCAAAGGUAGCAUAAUCAUUUGCCUUAUAAUUGAAGGCUAGUAUGAAUGGUUUGACGAGAGCAACACUGUCUCCUUUUUAUUUUCAAGAACUUAACUUUUAGGUGAAGAGGCCUAAAUUUUAUUGAAGGACAAGAAGACCCUAUCGAGCUUAAAAGACAUUAUAGAAGUUUAUAUAUUUCUAAAUAAAUUUUCUAUUGAGCUUUUUAGUUGGGGCGACUAAGGAACAAAAAAAGCUUCUUGCUAAUAAUAGACAGUCAUGUUUAGAUCCGAUAAUAAUCGAUCAAAGAAAUUAGUUACCGUAGGGAUAACAGCAUAAUCUCUCUUGAGAGACCUAAUCGAAAGAGGGGGUUGUGACCUCGAUGUUGGACUAGAAUAUCCUAAAGAUGCAGAAGUCUUUGAAAGGUCGGUCUGUUCGACCGUUAAAAUUCU